rnacentral:antisense_RNA from 1 species
AGCGCUCGGCGGUCAGGGUCAGGCAGAUCAGGCCACGGCCGUACUUGGCCAUGAAAUUGAUGGCUUCCGGCGUGAUGUGUUCGGCGGCCAUGA